rnacentral:rRNA from 1 species
CCUACGGGUGGCAGCAGUGAGGAAUAUUGGUCAAUGGACGGAAGCCUGAACCAGCCAAGUAGCGUGAAGGAUGACGGCCCUACGGGUUGUAAACUGCUUUUAUACGGGAAUAACGCGCCUUACGUGUAGGGCUUUGCAUGUACCGUAUGAAUAAGGACCGGCUAAUUCCGUGCCAGCAGCCGCGGUAAUACGGAGGGUCCGUGCGUUAUCCGGAUUUAUUGGGUUUAAAGGGAGCGUAGGCGGCAUGUCAAGUGAGCUGUGAAAGGUUGGGGCUCAACCCGGGAAUUGCAGGGGGAACUGGCGGGCUUGAGUACGGGGGAGGCAGGCGGAAUUCGUGGUGGAGCGGUGAAAUGCUUAGAUAUGACGAAGAACACCGAUUGCGAAGGCAGCUUGCUGGAGCGGAACUGACGCUGAGGCUCGAAAGCGUGGGUAUCGAACAGGAUUAGAUACCCUGGUAGUC